rnacentral:misc_RNA from 1 species
ACGCAACUGGCGCCGGUUUACCGGCAUGCCUGUUUCAGAGUGCUAGGAGAGUAAACUAUCAUUAUAAAAUAUAAUGCGAUUGAGGUACAUUUAUGUUUUUCUUUCGUUAAAUAUGAAGGUGUGAAAGAUGAGUAAUCUCUCACACUGGCAUACGAAGUAUUCAUGCUUGAUCGUGAUCUCGUUUAACAAGUGCUAAAGGUUUUUGUUUAGCUAUAAAUCACAUCUAAUCAAUUAACUAUCUCCACCUUUGCCAUCUGAAAUCAGACAAGGAUUCCCGCUGAAC